rnacentral:rRNA from 1 species
GUAAUGCUUGGGAAUCUGGCUUAUGGAGGGGGAUAACUGUGGGAAACUGCAGCUAAUACCGCGUAUUCUCUGAGGAGGAAAGGGUGGGACCUUAGGGCCACCUGCCAUAAGAUGAGCCCAAGUGGGAUUAGGUAGUUGGUGGGGUAAAGGCCUACCAAGCCUGCGAUCUCUAGCUGGUCUGAGAGGAUGACCAGCCACACUGGAACUGAGACACGGUCCAGACUCCUACGGGAGGCAGCAGUGGGGAAUAUUGCGCAAUGGGGGGAACCCUGACGCAGCCAUGCCGCGUGAAUGAAGAAGGCCUUCGGGUUGUAAAGUUCUUUCGGUAAUGAGGAAGGGAUGUUGUUAAAUAGAUAGCAUCAUUGACGUUAAUUACAGAAGAAGCACCGGCUAACUCCGUGCCAGCAGCCGCGGUAAUACGGAGGGUGCGAGCGUUAAUCGGAAUAACUGGGCGUAAAGGGCACGCAGGCGGACUUUUAAGUGAGAUGUGAAAUCCCCGAGCUUAACUUGGGAACUGCAUUUCAGACUGGGAGUCUAGAGUACUUUAGGGAGGGGUAGAAUUCCACGUGUAGCGGUGAAAUGCGUAGAG